rnacentral:rRNA from 1 species
GACGAACGCUGGCGGCGUGCUUAACACAUGCAAGUCGAACGGAAAGGCCCUGCUUUUGUUGGGUGCUCGAGUGGCGAACGGGUGAGUAACACGUGAGUAACCUGCCCUUGACUUUGGGAUAACUUCAGGAAACUGGGGCUAAUACCGGAUAUGAGCUCCUGCUGCAUGGUGGGGGUUGGAAAGGUUCGGCGGUUUGGGAUGGACUCGCGGGUUAUCAGCUUGUUGGUGGGGUAGUGGCUUACCAAGGCUUUGCUGGGUAGCCGGCCUGAGAGGGUGACCGGCAACAUUGGGACUGAGAUACGGCCCAGACUCCAACGGGAGGCAGCAGUGGGGAAUAUUGCACAAUGGGCGGAAGCCUGAUGCAGCAACGCCGCGUGCGGGAUGACGGCCUUCGGGUUGAAACCCGCUUCCGCCUGUGACGAAGCGUGAGUGACGGUAAUUGGUAAAGAAGCACCGGCUAACUACGUG